GUUCAAUUAGUUUAUAAAAAUAUUGAUUUGUGGAUUCAAAGAUACAAUUGUAUUGAACA
rnacentral:tRNA from 1 species